rnacentral:rRNA from 1 species
GCGAACUUGGCAGAGAUGCCUUGGUGCCUUCGGGAACGCUGAGACAGGUGCUGCAUGGCUGUCGUCAGCUCGUGUUGUGAAAUGUUGGGUUAAGUCCCGNAACGAGCGCAACCCUUUAUCCCUUUGUUGCCAGCGAUUCGGUCGGGAACUCAAAGGAGACUGCCGGUGAUAAACCGGAGGAAGGUGGGGAUGACGUCAAGUCAUCAUGGCCCUUACGAGUAGGGCUACACACGUGCUACAAUGGCGCAUACAAAGAGAAGCGACCUCGCGAGAGCAAGCGGACCUCAUAAAGUGCGUCGUAGUCCGGAUCGGAGUCUGCAACUCGACUCCGUGAAGUCGGAAUCGCUAGUAAUCGUGGAUCAGAAUGCCACGGUGAAUACGUUCCCGGGCCUUGUACACACCGCCCGUCACACCAUGGGAGUGGGUUGCAAAAGAAGUAGGUAGCUUAACCUUCGGGAGGGCGCUUACCACUUUGUGAUUCAUGACUGGGGUGAAGUCGUAACAAGGUAAGCGUAGCGAG